GGUUAAGCGACUAAGCGUACACGGUGGAUGCCCUGGCAGUCAGAGGCGAUGAAGGACGUGCUAAUCUGCGAUAAGCGUCGGUAAGGUGAUAUGAACCGUUAUAACCGGCGAUUUCCGAAUGGGGAAACCCAGUGUGAUUCGUCACACUAUCAUUAACUGAAUCCAUAGGUUAAUGAGGCGAACCGGGGGAACUGAAACAUCUAAGUACCCCGAGGAAAAGAAAUCAACCGAGAUUCCCCCAGUAGCGGCGAGCGAACGGGGAGCAGCCCAGAGCCUGAAUCAGUGUGUGUGUUAGUGGAAGCGUCUGGAAAGGCGUGCGAUACAGGGUGACAGCCCCGUACACAAAAAUGCACAUAUUGUGAGCUCGAUGAGUAGGGCGGGACACGUGGUAUCCUGUCUGAAUAUGGGGGGACCAUCCUCCAAGGCUAAAUACUCCUGACUGACCGAUAGUGAACCAGUACCGUGAGGGAAAGGCGAAAAGAACCCCGGCGAGGGGAGUGAAAAAGAACCUGAAACCGUGUACGUACAAGCAGUGGGAGCACGCUUAGGCGUGUGACUGCGUACCUUUUGUAUAAUGGGUCAGCGACUUAUAUUCUGUAGCAAGGUUAACCGAAUAGGGGAGCCGAAGGGAAACCGAGUCUUAACUGGGCGUUAAGUUGCAGGGUAUAGACCCGAAACCCGGUGAUCUAGCCAUGGGCAGGUUGAAGGUUGGGUAACACUAACUGGAGGACCGAACCGACUAAUGUUGAAAAAUUAGCGGAUGACUUGUGGCUGGGGGUGAAAGGCCAAUCAAACCGGGAGAUAGCUGGUUCUCCCCGAAAGCUAUUUAGGUAGCGCCUCGUGAAUUCAUCUCCGGGGGUAGAGCACUGUUUCGGCAAGGGGGUCAUCCCGACUUACCAACCCGAUGCAAACUGCGAAUACCGGAGAAUGUUAUCACGGGAGACACACGGCGGGUGCUAACGUCCGUCGUGAAGAGGGAAACAACCCAGACCGCCAGCUAAGGUCCCAAAGUCAUGGUUAAGUGGGAAACGAUGUGGGAAGGCCCAGACAGCCAGGAUGUUGGCUUAGAAGCAGCCAUCAUUUAAAGAAAGCGUAAUAGCUCACUGGUCGAGUCGGCCUGCGCGGAAGAUGUAACGGGGCUAAACCAUGCACCGAAGCUGCGGCAGCGACACUAUGUGUUGUUGGGUAGGGGAGCGUUCUGUAAGCCUGUGAAGGUGUACUGUGAGGUAUGCUGGAGGUAUCAGAAGUGCGAAUGCUGACAUAAGUAACGAUAAAGCGGGUGAAAAGCCCGCUCGCCGGAAGACCAAGGGUUCCUGUCCAACGUUAAUCGGGGCAGGGUGAGUCGACUCCUAAGGCGAGGCCGAAAGGCGUAGUCGAUGGGAAACAGGUUAAUAUUCCUGUACUUGGUGUUACUGCGAAGGGGGGACGGAGAAGGCUAUGUUGGCCGGGCGACGGUUGUCCCGGUUUAAGCGUGUAGGCUGGUUUUCCAGGCAAAUCCGGAAAACUAAGGCUGAGGCGUGAUGACGAGGCACUACGGUGCUGAAGCAACAAAUGCCCUGCUUCCAGGAAAAGCCUCUAAGCAUCAGGUAACAUCAAAUCGUACCCCAAACCGACACAGGUGGUCAGGUAGAGAAUACCAAGGCGCUUGAGAGAACUCGGGUGAAGGAACUAGGCAAAAUGGUGCCGUAACUUCGGGAGAAGGCACGCUGAUAUGUAGGUGAAGUCCCUCGCGGAUGGAGCUGAAAUCAGUCGAAGAUACCAGCUGGCUGCAACUGUUUAUUAAAAACACAGCACUGUGCAAACACGAAAGUGGACGUAUACGGUGUGACGCCUGCCCGGUGCCGGAAGGUUAAUUGAUGGGGUCAGCGCAAGCGAAGCUCUUGAUCGAAGCCCCGGUAAACGGCGGCCGUAACUAUAACGGUCCUAAGGUAGCGAAAUUCCUUGUCGGGUAAGUUCCGACCUGCACGAAUGGCGUAAUGAUGGCCAGGCUGUCUCCACCCGAGACUCAGUGAAAUUGAACUCGCUGUGAAGAUGCAGUGUACCCGCGGCAAGACGGAAAGACCCCGUGAACCUUUACUAUAGCUUGACACUGAACAUUGAGCCUUGAUGUGUAGGAUAGGUGGGAGGCUUUGAAGUGUGGACGCCAGUCUGCAUGGAGCCGACCUUGAAAUACCACCCUUUAAUGUUUGAUGUUCUAACGUUGACCCGUAAUCCGGGUUGCGGACAGUGUCUGGUGGGUAGUUUGACUGGGGCGGUCUCCUCCUAAAGAGUAACGGAGGAGCACGAAGGUUGGCUAAUCCUGGUCGGACAUCAGGAGGUUAGUGCAAUGGCAUAAGCCAGCUUGACUGCGAGCGUGACGGCGCGAGCAGGUGCGAAAGCAGGUCAUAGUGAUCCGGUGGUUCUGAAUGGAAGGGCCAUCGCUCAACGGAUAAAAGGUACUCCGGGGAUAACAGGCUGAUACCGCCCAAGAGUUCAUAUCGACGGCGGUGUUUGGCACCUCGAUGUCGGCUCAUCACAUCCUGGGGCUGAAGUAGGUCCCAAGGGUAUGGCUGUUCGCCAUUUAAAGUGGUACGCGAGCUGGGUUUAGAACGUCGUGAGACAGUUCGGUCCCUAUCUGCCGUGGGCGCUGGAGAACUGAGGGGGGCUGCUCCUAGUACGAGAGGACCGGAGUGGACGCAUCACUGGUGUUCGGGUUGUCAUGCCAAUGGCACUGCCCGGUAGCUAAAUGCGGAAGAGAUAAGUGCUGAAAGCAUCUAAGCACGAAACUUGCCCCGAGAUGAGUUCUCCCUGACUCCUUGAGAGUCCUGAAGGAACGUU
rnacentral:rRNA from 1 species